UCAGUUCUCUUCCUCCAUCAAUCACUUCCAUUUCCGACCACAUCCAACCUAUCAGCCAUCCUAUGCAAUCAAUCAACCUCCUAGCCUCUUUCUAUCUCCAUCAUAGCUUCUACCCCACAACAAUAACCCUAGAAGCUAGGGUUGAGAAAGAUAAGGCUAGGGUUAUCUUCACGACUGUAGAACAUCACAUCAAGGACUUGCAGAGUUGAAAUUGCAGAAGGGGUUUGUCGGGAAAAUGCGUUCUGAGUACCUGUGAAGCUGUUGUAAAAGCCAAAGAAAAGAAGGAUAAGGAGCAGCACAAAUUUGUGGAAGUGCCUAAACCCGGUUUAUACCCGCGGUAUCGUUUUCGAAAUCCCCUAACUGGCAUGACUAUGUGAAUGCUAUUUUGGCCUGCUAAAGCUAGUUUUUCUUUGCAUAGCCCUGUCAAAAUCCCUGCAAUACCUUUUUGUGCAUGAACUUGUGGUUCUUGAGUAACGUAUUUGAUAUCUGAAAUUUGUUAUUUAUGCGAGCAUAUCUCAGUCACUAAAAAUCUUUAUAUUUGUCUGCACAUGAGUGUGAAUCUCUGAGUCUUCUAAGCAUCAUCUGUGACCUGAAUUUGGCACCUGCUUGUUAUUUCAAUUUUGAUCUCUUAAUCUCGACAUAACCUGAAACUGACUGUCAUUUUCAUAAGCAUUGAUCUGUGAUAUUCGAGUAGCAUGUUGAUCUGCUGAAUCGGUUGAGUCCUGUGUGCUAUCUAUAUUCAUGAACAUACUAAUUCUGCAUCAUUUCUGAAACACUCUGUAUCCGUGUGUGUAUGCAUCACUGAAUCCGUUUGUCCUUACCCUUAGCUUUAACUCACUGAUUUGCGCAUUGCUGCUUGUCUGAUUUGUACGAACAUAUCAGUUCUGUGUGCAUAGAAGAAUCCCUAAGGCUAGCUUUUGAUUCUCGGAACUCUGUUUCCUAAAUUUUGAUUCUCUUGGUUGUUAGUUCUUGUCUCUGUAACGUAGAUAGUAUGUAUGCUAGGCUAUGAUUGUUACCCGCACGGUUCGGAGAGCACUGAAUUAGAAUGAGAGCCACGAAACUCGCUCAAUUCGCAGAUUGGUCUGCCUUCCGCUAAACAAACCGACUAGUUAGAAUUAGCCAAGAGAAUAUUGUUGAUAUUCCUAGUUCUGAAGUACACAGUCCUGACCAAUCUGAAACAAUGGGUGAAGAAUUGAACCAGGACCGCAGUAUGAAGGAGCACAUGUACCCAACUAGGGCAAGCCUGCCCUCGUGUAUUGUUUUACCAGCUGAUGCUGGUCAAUUUGAGCUAAAAUCUAGCACAACUCAUAUGUUACCUGUGUUUAGAGGGGUUGAUGCUGAAAACCCUUACAACCAUGUAAGAGAUUUUGAAGAUAUCUGUGGGACUCUGCAUUUUAACCAAAUGUCGGAAGAGUCCCUCAAACUGAGACUGUUCCCUUUCUCUUUGAAAGAAAAAGCCAAGUCCUGGCUACAUGCCCUACAACCACAGUCCAUUAGAACAUGGGAAGAUCUUACAAAAGAAUUUUUUAAAAGGUUUCUCCCUAACCAUAAGACUGCGACAAUUCGUCAAAGUCUAAAUAGUUUUGUGCAACUAGAAGGUGAGACCUUGGCCAAAUAUCUAAAGAGAUUUAAUGAAUUAUUACUCCAAUGUCCUCAUCAUGGUUGAAAAAUGGAGACUUGUGCAAAUUUUGUACGAAGGCUUAGAUGUCACCCGAACCACAGUUGAGUCAAUGUGCAAUGGUACAUUUAUUGACAAAAGUGCUAAUGAGGCUUGGACUUUCUUAAUCGAAGUCGCUGAAAAUACUCAGCAAUGGGAAUCCAUCCAUGAACCUAAAAAGACUACCCAUGUAGCUAAUGUCCAUAGAAUUGAGUCCGACUUUGAAGGAAAUGCAAAGAUUGCAUUUUUUGGCUACGAGAGUGGAAACGCUAGAGCUGCAGAAGAAUGUGAAAACUACUGCCCCUACUCUCGGUGACCAAAUUGAGACAGCCAUUUGUGUGGCAUGUCACGGUUCAGACCACUUAGUGGCUAGCUGUCCAUACCUACAGGAAUUUCAAGAGUCUAAAACCGAGCAAGCCAAUGCUUUGUAUCAGAAGCAAGAGAACAACCCUUAUUCUCAGACCUACAACCCAGGGUGGAAAAAUCACCCUAACUUUUCAUGGUCUAAGGGGCCUGUACAAGGAAUUUUGGCAGGAAAUAACCAAGGAUACUCAUAUCCCAAAAACCCUCAAGUGCAAUCACACACACAGUACCCUGUAUAAAAAAAGCCUAGCUUUGAAGAUAGUGUCGGUCUGUUGACCCAAAAUUUGUUGCACCUUCAAAAGACCACAGACCAACGUUUCUUGAGUCUAUAACUUAAAAUGGGUCAAUUCUGUGAUGCAUUAAAUGAAAGAGAAAAAGUUAAACUCCCUAGUUAGCCCCAACAAAAUCCAAAGAGUGCAUUUCAGGAAAGUACGUCAGCUUGCAAUGAGUCCUCACAUAAUCAAGUGAAUGUUGUCACCACUCUUCGUAGUGGUAAGGUUGUUGAUAACAAUGUAGGUGUACCACAAUCAAUUGAGUUUAAAUUAGACUCAGCGGUGCACACAACACCACAGAAAACAUCUAGUGUAGAAAAGGAAUCUGAGCAUGAUAGUGACUCUAAUAAUUCCACUGAUGUUAAUGCUUCUUUACCAUCUUUUGUGCCUGUUGCUCCAUUCCCACAAAGGUUGGUGCAGCAAAAAGAGAGUAACCAGUACAAUGAGAUGUUGGAAAUGUUUAAGCAAGUCAAUAUAAAUAUUCCUUUUCUCGAAGCAAUCAAACAGAUACCUGCUUAUGCUAAAUUCUUGAAAGAUCUAUGCACACAAAAAUGGAAACAUCAUGUGCAUAAACGUCCCUUUCUUACUGAGCAGGUGAGUUCAAUUAUUCAAAACAAGACCCCACCUAAGUUUAAUGAUCUAGGUAGUCCAACUAUCACAUGCACUAUAGGUGUCCAUACAAUCGAUAGGGAUUUGUUAGACUUAGGUGCUAGUGUGAACUUAUUGUCAUAUUCUGUAUAUGUGCAAUUAGGUUUUGGGGAGCUGAAACCCACCCCUGUUACGCUGCAAUUAGCGGACAGAUCUGUAAAAAUUCCUCGUGGUAUUGUUGAAGAUGUGUUAAUCAAGGUUGAUAAGUUUUAUUUCCCGGUGGAUUUCAUUGUUCUAGACACUCAACCUGUGCAAAACCCAGACUGUCACAUUCCUGUUAUUUUAGGACGUCCUUUUCUGGCGACGUCCAAUGGUAUCAUAAAUUGUCCAAAUGGAGUGUUGAACUUGUCAUUUGGAAAAUGACUGUGGAGUUAAAGUGCUUUUCGGGUUAGCCAACAACCUAUGAUAAUGAAUUGUAUGAGGUUAAUAUGAUUGACAAUCUGAUCCAAGACUCAUUGCCUAACAUCUUAUCUGUGGAUCCUUUGCAAGCAUGUUUAGACGAUUUUAACCUAGAUCUUUUUGAUUCUGAGUACAUUAGUGAAGUUCACUCUUUUCUUGAAUCUGUGCCGCCCAUGGACAUUUCUAAAUGGCAGACUGCAGUGGAACCACUUCCACUCUCUGAUUCCAAAUCUGCCCUGUCUCUAGAUGAACCACUUAAGCUUGAUUUGAAAUCAUUUCCUGAUACUUUGAAGUAUGCUUUCUUAGGUUCUUAUGAUACUUUUCCUGUGAUUAUUUCAUCAUGUUUAGACACGAAACAAGAAAGUAAACUUUUAAAAGUGCUUAAAGAACAUAAAGAGGCCUUAGGUUGGACCAUCUCAGACCUUAAAGGUAUAAGUCCAAGAAUUUGCAUGCAUCACAUAAAUCUUGAAGAAAAUACUAAACCAUCUAGGGAAAUACAACGGAGACUUAACCCCAAUAUCAGAGAUGUUGUUAAAGGUGAGAUUCUAAAAAUUGCUUGAUGCGGGUAUCAUAUACCCAAUUCCAGAUAGCCAGUGGGUCAGUCCCAUUCAAGUUGUACCCAAAAAGUCUGGCAUUACUGUAGUUAAAAAUGAAAUGAAUGAGCUAGUCCCGCUCGUGUGACCACAAGGUGGCGAGUUUGUAUUGAAUAUAGAAAAUUGAACACGGUAACAAAGAAAUACCACUUUCCUCUUCCCUUCAUUGACCAAAUAUUAGAAAGCUUGUCAAGACAUAGUCACUAUUGUUUCUUAGAUGGCUAUUCGGGUUAUAACCAGAUUCAUAUAGCACCCGAAGAUCAACCAAAGACUACAUUUACUUGUCCUUAUGGUACAUUUGCUUAUCGUCACAUGCCUUUUGGGUUGUGCAAUGCACCCGCUACUUUUCAACAUUGCAUGAUGAGCAUAUCAUGGAUGAUUUUUCUGCCUUUGGGUCUUCUUUUGAUGAAUGUUUGCAUCAUCUUUCUCUUUUGCUGAUUCGAUGUAAAGAAAAGAAUUUCAUUUUGAAUUGAGAAAAAUGUCAUUUCAUGGUUAACUCAGGUAUCGUUCUAGGGCAUAUCAUUUCUGAAAAAGGCAUAGAAGCAGAUAAAGCUAAAGUUUAUCUCAUUCAACACUUGCCUCAACCUCGCUCUGUGAGGGAGAUAAGGUCAUUCUUAGGCCAUGCCGGUUUUUACCGACUAUUCAUCAAAGACUUUAGUAAAAUUUCAAGGCCCUUAUGUAGUCUUCUUGCAAAAGAUGUUGCAUUUGUCUUUGAUGAUGCUUGUAUGGAAGCAUGGGAGCAAUUGAAAGCCCUUCUUACAUCUGCCCCUAUAGUCAGACCACCUGAUUGGACCUUACCAUUUGAAAUUAUGUUUGAUGCGUUUGACUAUGCUGUAGGAACUGUUUUAGGUCAGCGAGUAGACAAACUUCCUUAUGUGAUCUACUAUGCUAGUAAAACACUUAAUGAUGCUCAACUAAAUUAUUCAACAACUGAGAAAUAGUUAUUAGUUGUUGUGUUUGCAUUGGAUAAGUUUAUAUAUUAUUUGAUAGGGUCUAAUGUUAUCAUAUAUUCUGACCAUGCUGCAUUGAAGUAUCUUUUGUCUAAAAAAUAUGCUAAAGCUCGUCUAAUUCGACGGAUACUCUUGUUACAAGAGUUUAACCUCGAAAUUCGAGAUAAGAAAAGGUCCGAGUUGUUGCUGAUCACUUGUCUAGGUUAAAUGUUGAAUCUAUUGAUGAAUCUUUGCUCAUUAGAGAAUCAUUCCCUGACGAACAAUUGAUGCUUGUGUCUAAAAUGCCUUGGUUUACUGAUAUUGUUAACUACUUUGUUACUGGAAGAAUGCCCUUGCAUUGGUCCAAACAAGACCGUUCUAAAUUCUUGGUUGAAGUGAAAUAUUUCUUUUGGGAUGACCCAUGCUUAUUUAAAUACUGCCCUGACCAACUCAUUAGGAGAUGCAUCCCCAAUUCUGAACAAAGAGAUGUCAUCUCUUUCUAUCAUGACCAUGCAUGUGGAGGCCAUUUUAGCGCCAAGAAAACAACUGCAAAGAUCUUGCAGAGUGGUUUUUAUUAGCCAUCGUUGUUCAAAAAUAGUCAUGCAUUUUAUGUUGCUUGUGAUCGAUGCCAGUAAUUAGGAAGUAUCUCAAGAAGAAACAUGAUGCCCUUACAACCUAUUUUGAUUGUUGAGUUAUUUGAUGUAUGGGGUAUUGAUUUCAUGGGUCCAUUUCCUAACUUUAAAGGUAUGUUAUACAUUCUUGUUGUUGUUGAUUAUGUAUCUAAAUGGGUAGAAGCCAUUUCCUAUGAUAGGUGUCUAAAACACCUAAUUUUAUAUCUAGUAUUUAUGCUUUCUUUGCUAUUGUCGUGUAAAUUAUGUAUCUUAUGUGUGCUUUUGAGUUAUUUAGGUACUUUGGAGUCAUUGUGAGCAGAAGAAGGAAAAAGUGUCCAUUUAGAGCAUAAAGAGCAAAAAGGAUAAUUCGCUGUUAAAGAAUUACUGGGAGCAGAACUGAGCCAAGCCGAAGAUAGGGGACAAACACUGCAACUUAGUCUAGAGAAGCAAGAGGCGGAAUCUUUGAUGGCCCUUAUGUAAGGAGUAGGUGCCUAAAGACAACCAGUUGGAGUCUAAAGAAGAAUUGCUAAAACCACCCAUGGGUGUUGAUAGCCGUACUAUUUUUAUUACCCUAAAACAACUCAAAAAAAAAGACAUUCUUUUCUCCUCUUUCACACUGUUCAUCCCCAAAUUCCAUCUUUGGCUGCUGCUGUUGAGAAAUGAUUAGGAGAUGGAAGUAUUGAUGGAAGAGAUCGAUGGGUAUCAAAGAAAGAAUCAAGAUGUUGCUAUGUUUGUGAAGAUUACAGGGAAAGAACAAGGAAAUUGUGGUUGCUGUUCAGAGAAGAUGAAGAACUGAAACAAGGGUUAAUUGAUGAUGUGUCGAUUGAUUCAUGGUUGCAGUCUGUGAGAAGAUGGAUUCAUAUGAGAUGAAGCAAGAACUUGUGGAGUUGCUGAGAUCUGCUGAGAUGCUACUGUAGCUGUUGACGAUGAAGAAUUUGAGAAGACGAAUCUGUUGCUGCUGGUAAUUAGGUCAAGGAAAUGGAGAAAUUGAUGAAGAAACUCAUGGGUUUUGAAUCUUGUAGCCGCCGUAACAAGAUCGAGAGGAUGGUGCUGAUAUUCAUGGGUCCUGGUGACGAAAUUGCAAGGAGACGAGAUGAUGUUUGCUGCCAUGGGAAUCGUGGUUGUGAGAGAAUGGGUUGUCGAAUCUGGGAUGAAUUUGAGAAGACUUGUUACUGAGAUGGAGAUGAUGAUUUCUGAGAAGUUUUGAUUCAGUUGGUGGAAGAAGUGGUGAGGAUUUGGAGUCCAAGGGUAUGUUCAAAGAAUUGGACAUGAAGAGAAUCAGUUGCUGUCACCUAAUUUGGGUUUUAUUGUGGUCCAUUGAGAUGAUGGCAAGGCUCUGGUAUGAACUGGAAGAAGAAUCUGUAGAUGAAUAUGGAGUUGCAAGCUGGUGUAGCAGGUACAAGCUCGAGAGGAUGCAGCUGGUUGAGUUCUGGACUGCAGGGAAUGGUGUUGUUUUGGAGUGUAUGGCGGUUUGGAUGUGAGAUGGCAUUACAGGAAAUGGUAUUGCAGCUGAAGAUGGGGUUUGGUGCUGUGUCCGAGAACUUGUCGCUGCUGUGCUGUUUCAAUGGGAACUAAAAUUGGGAAUGGUUUAAGCUGAUGCUGUUGAUGUUGGUGAUAGAGACAGGGAAUAAGAAGAUGGCUAUGAAAGGGUCAAGAAGGAGCUGAAAUGAGUUUGCAAUCUGGAGAGUGUGAAAUGGAUUGCAGUGUUGUUGCUGCCAUAGGUUGCAGUUGCAACUGGUGAUGCUACUGCCAGGGAUUGGCAGGAUGUAGUGAUGCUGAGAAGGCUAGAGCUGGAUGAUUUUGAAGCUGUGAGAUAAGCAAGAGAAGACAGAAUCGGUGUCGCUGAGGUUUGAGAGGCUGCAGUUUGCAUUGUAGUAGUAGUGUGUUGCUGUUUUCUAUGAAUUGAUACUGGUGCAGUGAAGGUCUUGGUAAUGGUGCAAAUCGAAAUUGUGUUGCCAGUGAAGAUUUAGGAACCAAAAUGUGCAGGGGAGAUGGUUUUGCAGGCAUGUUGCAGUGCAGAAAUGGAAACAAUAAUGUUGGAGCUGUAAAUGGAAUGAAUACUGAUUAUGGUGUUAUGGUUACUGGCUGUGAACCGAGUAUGUGGAGUCCCUUUUGAUGGCUAGGCAUUGGUGGUGCUAAGCUUGGAGGUUACAGGGCAGCUACAGUAGGGGUCAGAGAUGAAUGAAAGUGUAGAGCUCAGGUGAAUGAUAGUUGCCAAGUUAUCGCAGGUGAUGUUGCAGGUGGUCUGAGCUACAUAAAGUGGCGGAUUUCAGAGUUGGUGGACUGGAAAUGUGGCUGAGAGUAUUGCAGGUUGAGUCUGCAAUGGAGAAUGGCUUUGUAUGUGGCUUGCAGGGUAGGUAGCUGGUAUUUGUUGCGGUGUUGGAAUGACUCGUGGAGAUUGCAGCUGAAGUUUUGUGGCUGAAUGAAUGGAUGCUGCCAUGAGUUGGUUGAGUAGUUGCUGCUAUACCGAUGAAUUACAGGCUAGGGACUUAAAACUGUGCAGUGAAUAUGCUGAGCUGCAGGUUACAAGAAGAUGGAGCUGUGACUGAUGGAGUGGCAGGUGAUGAAUGGCGAAAAGUGAUGGUUGAAUUGCAUUAUGGGCGCUGGAGCAUUGUUGAUACAAAUCUUGACAGAUGAGAGAUGAAGAGCAAUCAUUGUGCUUGAUUGAAGCAUGGCCUGUGCAAGCUGCAAUGGCUCAUGCCAAACCCAGUCAGGCUAGUUAGAACCUGACUUCACCUGACUCGGUGAUUGACCGGGUCGACUCAGUUGACCCGACCGAUCUGACCCGUUGGCUAGUGACCGGUUUGACUUUGCCGGUCACCUGAGCUAUUUUCCGACCACUUUUCGGCGACGAUUUGGCAGAGUUUUUAUAUGAGUUUAUCUCACUUUUGGGCCACGUGGAUUUUCAUCUAAUGGGAUUUGAAGUUUUGACCUAGUUUUGGAAGGGAGAAAAGCUACAAAAAGAGAAAGUUUUUUACAACUUUGGGACACGUAUUAUUUUCUACUUGGAGCUUUGGAGAGAACUUCUUCUAGGGUUUGCUUUUGUUUGUUUUCAUCUUCUUUAUUUUAUUGAUUAUGAUUAUGAUGAACUCCAUUAUUAUGAGUAACUAAAUACAAUUAUUGGUUAUGGGA